rnacentral:rRNA from 1 species
UUUGAGUUUGUUUUUGUGCCUGAGUGAUUAUUAGUUAUGUUCUUUAAAGUUAAAGAUUUUGGCGGUAUUUUAGUCUUUUCAGAGGAACCUGUCCUAUAAUCGAUAGUCCACGUUUUAUGUUGCUUUAAUUUAUGCCUAUAUAUCGUUGUAGUUGAAUAUUUUACUAGAAGGAGAAUAUUCAAGAAUUCUUACUAUAGAGGAAAUCAAAUCAAGGUGUAGCUUGUAUUAAAGGAGAGAUGGGUUACAAUAUUUUGAGGUAAACGGAUUAUUCAAUGAAAUUGGGUAUGAAGGCGGAUUUGAAAGUAAUUGGAUUUAUUUGUUUUUAAUGAGUUAGUUCUAAGAUAUG